rnacentral:rRNA from 1 species
AUUGAACGCUGGCGGCAGGCCUAACACAUGCAAGUCGAACGAGUGGCGGACGGGUGAGUAAUGUCUGGGACACUGCCUGAUGGAGGGGGAUAACUACUGGAAACGGUAGCUAAUACCGCAUACCAUCGGAUGUGCCCAGAUGGGAUUAGCUAGUAGGGGGGGUAACGGCUCACCUAGGCGACGAUCCCUAGCUGGUCCGAGAGGAUGACCAGCCACACUGGAACGGAGACACGGUCCAGACUCCCACGGGAGGAAGCAGUGGGGAAUAUUGGACAAUGGGCGCAAUCCUGAUGCAGCCAUGCCGCGGGUAUGAAGAAGGCCUUCGGGUUGGAAAGUACUUUCAGCGGGGAGGCGUUACCCGCAGAAGAAGCACCGGCUAACUCCGUGCCAGCAGCCGCGGUAAUAC